GGGGAUAGCUGUAGCUCAGUAGUAAAGCAUCUGCUUUGCAUGCAGGAGGUCUCAGGUUCAAUCCUGAGUCUCUUCA